rnacentral:sRNA from 1 species
UGACUAAUCCCGGUGGGAACAACCAGUCC